GGCGACUGGGUUUAGGACGAAAAAUUAUUGCCCGACGGUGGUCUAGAUAGACCAUCCAGAUCCCACGGUGGAUAACACACCACAUCAUCCAUUACAUAUCACGAAUUCUCGAUUGCUCGUUAUCCACCGUGCAUUUGCUCCAAGAUGUGCGCUGAUCUGGUCGGGCGUGGUCCGGACAAUAAUUUUUCGAUUUAGACAGGGACAAGAGAGGGAUGGUU
rnacentral:lncRNA from 1 species